UAUUACUAUUAUUACCAUUACUGUACUAAUGUAAUCUGUUACACCUUGGCGUUGUCCAUGUCUUGUAGGGAUUGCCUGGUGCACUUGGACCUCCAGGCCCAGCUGGGCACAAUGGAGAGAAGGGCGAGUCUGGACCCAGAGGCCCUUCAGGAAACCCUGGAGCCAGAGCUGUGGCCGGUUCUCGUGGUGAAACAGGUCCUAGUG